rnacentral:rRNA from 1 species
UUAAGUUAUUAAGGGCGCACGGUGGAUGCCUUGGCACUAGAAGCCGAUGAAGGACGUUACUAACGACGAUAUGCUUUGGGGAGCUGUAAGUAAGCUUUGAUCCAGAGAUUUCCGAAUGGGGAAACCCAACAUGAGUUAUGUCAUGUUAUCGAUAUGUGAAUACAUAGCAUAUCAGAAGGCACACCCGGAGAACUGAAACAUCUUAGUACCCGGAGGAAGAGAAAGAAAAAUCGAUUCCCUUAGUAGCGGCGAGCGAAACGGGAAGAGCCCAAACCAACAAGCUUGCUUGUUGGGGUUGUAGGACACUCUAUACGGAGUUACAAAGGACGACAUUAGACGAAUCAUCUGGAAAGAUGAAUCAAAGAAGGUAAUAAUCCUGUAGUCGAAAAUGUUGUCUCUCUUGAGUGGAUCCUGAGUACGACGGAGCACGUGAAAUUCCGUCGGAAUCUGGGAGGACCAUCUCCUAAGGCUAAAUACUCUCUAGUGACCGAUAGUGAACCAGUACCGUGAGGGAAAGGUGAAAAGCACCCCGGAAGGGGAGUGAAAUAGAACCUGAAACCGUGUGCUUACAAGUAGUCAGAGCCCGUUAAUGGGUGAUGGCGUGCCUUUUGUAGAAUGAACCGGCGAGUUACGAUUUGAUGCAAGGUUAAGCAGUAAAUGUGGAGCCGUAGCGAAAGCGAGUCUGAAUAGGGCGUUUAGUAUUUGGUCGUAGACCCGAAACCAGGUGAUCUACCCUUGGUCAGGUUGAAGUUCAGGUAACACUGAAUGGAGGACCGAACCGACUUACGUUGAAAAGUGAGCGGAUGAACUGAGGGUAGCGGAGAAAUUCCAAUCGAACCUGGAGAUAGCUGGUUCUCUCCGAAAUAGCUUUAGGGCUAGCCUCAAGUGAUGAUUAUUGGAGGUAGAGCACUGUUUGGACGAGGGGCCCCUCUCGGGUUACCGAAUUCAGACAAACUCCGAAUGCCAAUUAAUUUAACUUGGGAGUCAGAACAUGGGUGAUAAGGUCCGUGUUCGAAAGGGAAACAGCCCAGACCACCAGCUAAGGUCCCAAAAUAUAUGUUAAGUGGAAAAGGAUGUGGCGUUGCCCAGACAACUAGGAUGUUGGCUUAGAAGCAGCCAUCAUUUAAAGAGUGCGUAAUAGCUCACUAGUCGAGUGACACUGCGCCGAAAAUGUACCGGGGCUAAACAUAUUACCGAAGCUGUGGAUUGUCCUUUGGACAAUGGUAGGAGAGCGUUCUAAGGGCGUUGAAGCAUGAUCGUAAGGACAUGUGGAGCGCUUAGAAGUGAGAAUGCCGGUGUGAGUAGCGAAAGACGGGUGAGAAUCCCGUCCACCGAUUGACUAAGGUUUCCAGAGGAAGGCUCGUCCGCUCUGGGUUAGUCGGGUCCUAAGCUGAGGCCGACAGGCGUAGGCGAUGGAUAACAGGUUGAUAUUCCUGUACCACCUAUAAUCGUUUUAAUCGAUGGGGGACGCAGUAGGAUAGGCGAAGCGUGCGAUUGGAUUGCACGUCUAAGCAGUAAGGCUGAGUAUUAGGCAAAUCCGGUACUCGUUAAGGCUGAGCUGUGAUGGGGAGAAGACAUUGUGUCUUCGAGUCGUUGAUUUCACACUGCCGAGAAAAGCCUCUAGAUAGAAAAUAGGUGCCCGUACCGCAAACCGACACAGGUAGUCAAGAUGAGAAUUCUAAGGUGAGCGAGCGAACUCUCGUUAAGGAACUCGGCAAAAUGACCCCGUAACUUCGGGAGAAGGGGUGCUCUUUAGGGUUAACGCCCAGAAGAGCCGCAGUGAAUAGGCCCAAGCGACUGUUUAUCAAAAACACAGGUCUCUGCUAAACCGUAAGGUGAUGUAUAGGGGCUGACGCCUGCCCGGUGCUGGAAGGUUAAGAGGAGUGGUUAGCUUCUGCGAAGCUACGAAUCGAAGCCCCAGUAAACGGCGGCCGUAACUAUAACGGUCCUAAGGUAGCGAAAUUCCUUGUCGGGUAAGUUCCGACCCGCACGAAAGGCGUAACGAUUUGGGCACUGUCUCAACGAGAGACUCGGUGAAAUCAUAGUACCUGUGAAGAUGCAGGUUACCCGCGACAGGACGGAAAGACCCCGUGGAGCUUUACUGUAGCCUGAUAUUGAAAUUCGGCACAGCUUGUACAGGAUAGGUAGGAGCCUUUGAAACGUGAGCGCUAGCUUACGUGGAGGCGCUGGUGGGAUACUACCCUAGCUGUGUUGGCUUUCUAACCCGCACCACUUAUCGUGGUGGGAGACAGUGUCAGGCGGGCAGUUUGACUGGGGCGGUCGCCUCCUAAAAGGUAACGGAGGCGCUCAAAGGUUCCCUCAGAAUGGUUGGAAAUCAUUCAUAGAGUGUAAAGGCAUAAGGGAGCUUGACUGCGAGACCUACAAGUCGAGCAGGGUCGAAAGACGGACUUAGUGAUCCGGUGGUUCCGCAUGGAAGGGCCAUCGCUCAACGGAUAAAAGCUACCCCGGGGAUAACAGGCUUAUCUCCCCCAAGAGUUCACAUCGACGGGGAGGUUUGGCACCUCGAUGUCGGCUCAUCGCAUCCUGGGGCUGUAGUCGGUCCCAAGGGUUGGGCUGUUCGCCCAUUAAAGCGGUACGCGAGCUGGGUUCAGAACGUCGUGAGACAGUUCGGUCCCUAUCCGUCGUGGGCGUAGGAAAUUUGAGAGGAGCUGUCCUUAGUACGAGAGGACCGGGAUGGACAUACCUCUGGUGUACCAGUUGUCGUGCCAACGGCAUAGCUGGGUAGCUAUGUGUGGACGGGAUAAGUGCUGAAAGCAUCUAAGCAUGAAGCCCCCCUCAAGAUGAGAUUUCCCAACUUCGGUUAUAAGAUCCCUCAAAGAUGAUGAGGUUAAUAGGUUCGAGGUGGAAGCAUGGUGACAUGUGGAGCUGACGAAUACUAAUCGAUCGAAGACUUAAUCAA